rnacentral:misc_RNA from 1 species
UACAAUCAUAUGUUCUGUAUUUAUUGCAUGUGACGUUUCGUUUCGUGCGACUCCACUCAAACAAAUUCGUUCCUAAAAUUGAUCGGUUUGUGAUAAAAAAUAGUGAGCACUUAUCGUUAAAAUGAUCGAGGAACUCGCUAAAGAUUAUGGAUCAUAUGUAAAAACAGAUAUAACGGAUCAAAUGAAAAAUGUUCACGAAACCAUAGAAGAUAUGAUGGCUCGUUUAGAGGAGUUUGAGUCAAUCAUUGGUAUGGUUCAGACUGUCGGAGCAGAAUGUACUAGCGAACAUCGACCUCGUUUGCAAUCAGUUCGUCCAGAAUUGUCGAGUUUGUGCAAACGUAUAGACGCCCUUGAGCACAUAGUUGCGAGAGCGAACGUGGAUUUGACAGCUCUUGAAACGGCGGUCGAAACGGCCGAGGCUGAACUCGGGGGAGUUGGAGUUUCGGAUCGUAUUCUCGGAAUGCUGAAUCCAAUUUCACAUCUUUUCAAAAGUAAAAACACGGAAUCUCCAACUGUAAGGCCACUGACGAAUUUCGAGCCACCUCCAAUUUAUCAUACCGAAGACUUUUUUACGAACACUUAAAAUAUUUAUAACUUAAACAAUUCAUUACUGAUAAAAAGUGUAAUCAAUUACGACUUAAUAGUCAUCUUCAAAAAAAUAUCAUCGAUUAGAAUUUAUGUACAGAAAAGAUACUGAAAUGUAGGACAAAAUAAUUUUGGGGAGUAACGCUGAGGAGAUUCCUGUCUUCGAAGAUUCGGUGAUUCUCUAUCUUCGAGCGACCUUUUCCCAAAUUUUGGACCAAGCCAGUUUUCUCUUCGCUCACGACGUCGACGGUACCGUCCCAGGUUUCUCCAGGAGCGUGGAGAAAAUUUCUUGUGUCGUCUACGGU